rnacentral:rRNA from 1 species
AUGGCCAUCCCAUCCACGAGUGACGACGUUGUCACGGCUUCUGAAUUGCCGCCAUGUGCUUCCUAUCCAGGGGGCCUUUGCUGCAGCAGCAACACCGAAGGUGCGCCGGCGAGUUGUUCGGGAGAGCAAGGGAAGCGACAAGAAGUGCCGGUGUUGUCGCCACCGGAAUCGGCUGGGCUCGAGGGAGACCAAGGGACCUUGGAGACGGUGGUCGUCGUCGAGGAGAUAACCUGCCGUGGAGUAGAUGAGGAGGAGCUGGAGAAGCUAGAGAUCGACGAGCUGAACAGAAAGUUUGAGCAUUUCAUCCAAAGCAGAAGAAUCAAAUGGCUUAAGGAGGAGGAGCAAGUAUUGCACUGCCAGCAGAACCUCGACGUGGGAGCAGUAUCAUGCAAAUUAGUCCUCUAUGCACGUCGUGAUCCCUUCCGGCUCUCAUGUUUCUGUUGUAACUAA